rnacentral:rRNA from 1 species
CGGCGUGCUUAACACAUGCAAGUCGAACGAGACGAUUUAGAAGCUUGCUUUUAUUGAGUUGAGUGGCAAACGGGUGAGUAACGCGUAGACAACCUGCCGCAAAGAUGGGGACAACAGUCCGAAAGGACUGCUAAUACCGAAUGUUGUAUCUCCUCCGCAUGGAAGAGAUAUUAAAGAUGGCCUCUACUUGUAAGCUAUCGCUUUGCGAUGGGUCUGCGUCUGAUUAGCUAGUUGGUGGGGCAACGGCCUACCAAGGCGACGAUCAGUAGCCGGUCUGAGAGGAUGAACGGCCACAUUGGAACUGAGACACGGUCCAGACUCCUACGGGAGGCAGCAGUGGGGAAUCUUCCGCAAUGGGCGAAAGCCUGACGGAGCAACGCCGCGUGAGUGAAGAAGGUCUUCGGAUCGUAAAGCUCUGUUGUCGGGGACGAAUGUUGAGACCUAGAACAUAGGUUUCAAAUGACGGUACCUGACGAGGAAGCCACGGCUAACUACGUG